rnacentral:rRNA from 1 species
AGCGAACGCUGGCGGCAGGCCUAACACAUGCAAGUCGAACGAAGCCUUCGGGCUUAGUGGCGGACGGGUGAGUAACACGUGGGAACGUACCUUUUGGUUCGGAACAACUCAGGGAAACUUGAGCUAAUACCGGAUGAGCCCUUAGGGGGAAAGAUUUAUCGCCGAAAGAGCGGCCCGCGUUUGGUUAGAUAGUUGGUGAGGUAAAGGCUCACUAAGGCAACGAUCUAUAGAUGGUGUGAGAGGAUUAUCAGCCACACUGGGACAGAGACACGGCCCAGACUCCUGCGGGAGGCAGCAGUGGGGAAUCGUGCGCGAUGGGCGAAAGCCUGACGCAGCCAUGCCGCGUGAAUGCUGAAGGUCUUAGGAUUGUAAAAUUCUUUUACCAGGGACGAUAAUGACGGUACCUGGUGAAAAAGCCCCGGCUAACUUCGUGCCAGCCGUCGCAGUAAGAC